GACGAACGCUGGCGGCGUGCCUAAUACAUGCAAGUCGAGCGAAGCGACGGAUGGGUGAGUAACGCGUGGGUAACCUGCCCUUAAGUCUGGGAUACCAUUUGGAAACAGAUACUAAUACCGGAUACUAAAGGAUGGACCAGCGAUGCAUUAGCUAGUUGGUAAGGUAACGGCUUACCAAGGCGAUGAUGCAUAGCCGAGUUGAGAGGGGGAGCGGCCACAUUGGCACUGAGACACGGCCCAAACUCCUACGGGAGGCAGCAGUAGGGAAUCUUCCACAAUGGACGAAAGUCUGAUGGAGCAACGCCGCGUGAAUGAAGAAGGUUUUCGGGUCGUAAAGCUCUGUUGUUGGUGAAGCGGUAAUCAACCAGAAAGCCACGGCUAACUACGUGCCAGCAGCCGCGGUAAUUC
rnacentral:rRNA from 1 species